UAGGAAUCUGCCUGGUAGUGGGGGAUAACGUCCGGAAACGGACGCUAAUACCGCAUACGUCCUACGGGAGAAAGCAGGGGACCUUCGGGCCUUGCGCUAUCAGAUGAGCCUAGGUCGGAUUAGCUAGUUGGUGAGGUAAAGGCUCACCAAGGCGACGAUCCGUAACUGGUCUGAGAGGAUGAUCAGUCACACUGGAACUGAGACACGGUCCAGACUCCUACGGGAGGCAGCAGUGGGGAAUAUUGGACAAUGGGCGAAAGCCUGAUCCAGCCAUGCCGCGUGUGUGAAGAAGGUCUUCGGAUUGUAAAGCACUUUAAGUUGGGAGGAAGGGUACUUACCUAAUACGUGAGUAUUUUGACGUUACCGACAGAAUAAGCACCGGCUAACUCUGUGCCAGCAGCCGCGGUAAUACAGAGGGUGCAAGCGUUAAUCGGAAUUACUGGGCGUAAAGCGCGCGUAGGUGGUUCGUUAAGUUGGAUGUGAAAUCCCCGGGCUCAACCUGGGAACUGCAUCCAAAACUGGCGAGCUAGAGUAUGGUAGAGGGUGGUGGAAUUUCCUGUGUAGCGGUGAAAUGCGUAGAUAUAGGAAGGAACACCAGUGGCGAAGGCGACCACCUGGACUGAUACUGACACUGAGGUGCGAAAGCGUG
rnacentral:rRNA from 1 species